rnacentral:tRNA from 1 species
GGCUAUAGCUCAGUGGUAAAGAAUGUGCUUAGCAUGUAUGAAGUCCUGGGUUCCAUCCCCAGCAUCA